AUACUUACCUGGCAGGGGAGAUACCAUGAUCACGAAGGUGGUUUUCCCAGGGCGAGGCUUAUCCAUUGCACUCCGGAUGUGCUGACCCCUGCGAUUUCCCCAAAUGUGGGAAACUUGACUGCAUAAUUUGUGGUAGUGGGGGACUGCGUUCGCGCUUUCCCCUA
rnacentral:snRNA from 1 species